rnacentral:rRNA from 1 species
GACGAACGCUGGCGGCGUGCCUAAUACAUGCAAGUCGAACGCACAGUUUAUACCGUAGCUUGCUACACCAUAAACUGUGAGUUGCGAACGGGUGAGUAACGCGUAGGUAACCUGCCUGGUAGCGGGGGAUAACUAUUGGAAACGAUAGCUAAUACCGCAUAAUAUUGAUUAUUGCAUGAUAAUUAAUUGAAAGGUGCAAUUGCAUCACUACCAGAUGGACCUGCGUUGUAUUAGCUAGUAGGUGAGGUAACGGCUCACCUAGGCGACGAUACAUAGCCGACCUGAGAGGGUGAUCGGCCACACUGGGACUGAGACACGGCCCAGACUCCUACGGGAGGCAGCAGUAGGGAAUCUUCGGCAAUGGACGAAAGUCUGACCGAGCAACGCCGCGUGAGUGAAGAAGGUUUUCGGAUCGUAAAGCUCUGUUGUAAGAGAAGAACGGGUGUGAGAGUGGAAAGUUCACACUGUGACGGUAGCUUACCAGAAAGGGACGGCUAACUACGUG